UACGUAGGGUGCAAGCGUUAUCCGGAAUUAUUGGGCGUAAAGAGCUCGUAGGCGGUUUGUCGCGUCUGCCGUGAAAGUCCGGGGCUCAACUCCGGAUCUGCGGUGGGUACGGGCAGACUAGAGUGAUGUAGGGAGACUGGAAUUCCGUGGUGUAGCGGUGAAUGCGCAGAUAUCAGGAGGAACACCGAUGGCGAAGGCAGGUCUCUGGGCAUUAACUGACGCUGAGGAGCGAAAGCAUGGGAGCGAACAGG
rnacentral:rRNA from 1 species